ACUAUUUAAGGAAUUAAGCUUUAAGGGCAAAACAAGGAGAGGAACAAGAGAAAAUUUUGGUAGCAAUGUAAUUGAUCUAAGAUACAUCUUUAGUGUGUGGUCAAGAUUGGUUUGAGAAGCGGUCCUUUAGUUGAUGUUGAAGAAGACCUCGAUAAGCUCUUAUCAAUAGAAAAGAGUAUGUAUUCGUCUUCAAUUUUAUAAUACUUUUACUUUGUUACAAUUAUUUCUAAAUGUUAAUAUUUUUGAUUGUUUUUUCAUUGUAGAUAUCAAUGCAUUGAAGGUUAACAAUUGAGAAAAAUUGGAGAGUGAUUCAAUGUGGAUGUCCUCUCGGUUUUUUUGUUUGGAUGUAUAUUAGGUGUUGUAUUGUUGGUAUUUUGAACUUAGGCAUGCUUGUUCCCUUUAUUUCUUUUUUUAUAAUUUAAUUUCAUCAAGAAAGCAGG
rnacentral:lncRNA from 1 species